rnacentral:rRNA from 1 species
CCUACGGGACGCAGCAGUGGGGAAUAUUGGACAAUAGGCGAAAGCCUGAUCCAGCAAUGCCGCGUGUGUGAAGAAGGUCUUCGGAUUGUAAAGCACUUUCGACGGGGACGAUGAUGACGGUACCCGUAGAAGAAGCCCCGGCUAACUUCGUGCCAGCAGCCGCGGUAAUACGAAGGGGGCUAGCGUUGCUCGGGAUGACUGGGCGUAAAGGGCGCGUAGGCGGUUUAUGCAGUCAGAUGUGAAAUCCCCGGGCUUAACCUGGGAACUGCAUUUGAGACGCAUAGACUAGAGGUCGAGAGAGGGUUGUGGAAUUCCCAGUGUAGAGGUGAAAUUCGUAGAUAUUGGGGAGAACACCGGUGGCGAAGGCGGCAACCCGGCUCGAUACUGACGCUGAGGCGCGAAAGCGUGGGGAGCAAACAGGAUUAGAUACCCCGGUAGUC